CCCGCAAUCAGGUUCGUGCUUUACAAUCCGCCUUGACUCGUGACAUUCAUCAUCGGAUGAAAAAAAAAGGACGGUAGUGUACAUGUUUUUACUUAUGUUACUCUCUCGUCUCCGGUUGGACCGUUUCCGUAAAUUCUCGUGGUACGUGCAACUACGCGAGAGAACGACGUACGCGCGUAUCACAGGGAUUCAUUGAUCUUCACACGCGUAGCAUCGUGCGCGGCUUCGCGGUUCGUAUAUCGCGCUUCCGAGGGGACGAGUCGAGUGUCGUCGAGUAAGAGAGAAAGAAGCCUCGGAAAUAGUGGUGCUGAGCGAGGCGCGCAACGAAGAAGAAAAUGAAAAGAAACACAGUGCCUCAUUAACAGCUACGCACCGAAGUCGAUUAUACCUGUCAGUUGAUUGUCUGUCAACUGGUUCUUCGUUACACAUAAUUCGCUAGAUUCCCGUCUUUUGCCUCCAAUCAACUUCCACAUGACGCUCGUACCAGGACGAAGGGACUCUUCCUUCAUUAUUAUUUUCAACUCCUAGUGCUACUAGAUACCAGAGAGAAAAAUACUACUACAGAGAUACCAAAGAUAUCAGAACGAAGGAAAGGAAAGUGUGUAACCUGAAAACCGAAUAAAUAAAAACUGAACAAAUAAAACUGAACAAAAAAAAAAAGAAAAAUAAACAAAGUGAAUAAAAACCGGAAGAGGAAUGGUAAGCAAAAACAUCGGAAUAAGUGUCUUUGUCAUUAAUAGUAGGAAUAAAAGUACGAAGGAGAACCUUUGUAGGCUCAUUUCCCGGCACUGGAUGUCGGACUGACGCGUCGACCGCGACGCAGAAGGACAGAAGGUGCAAGCGUUUCGGUAUGCGCGAAAAAGUGAUAUAUACUAACAUCUUCAAGGAACAAUUAAACAUUAAGAAAGAGCGAGAGAAAAAGAGAAGAUUUAUUUCUAUUAUAAGCUUACAAACCAGAAGUCGGGAUGAUGUAAUGGAAAUAGUUCCUCGAGAAAUAUCUGAUUGUCAAUAUUAUACGGACAAAGUGGUCGAACAAUCAAAAUUAAAAAAAAGUAGCCAAAUACUUCAAUUUCGAGGAACUAUUCAGCAGAUACUACACUUUCAUCCUACAGUAUCUGAUACUAAUUAGAUAUAGUAUCUAAUGCUGUCAAAUUAAAGAAGCAUUCAAAAAGUUCAACGCCGGACAUUUCUAAGCUAACAGCGGAUUACUUCACUGUCAGAAACAAUAGAGGACGGCAACUGCGAGCCAUCAAAAUAAGCAAUCGCGUCAAGUCUCUCGCGCGAAGUACAUGUAGCAGCACUACAUUAUUUCGUGAUCUCAGUCCGACGUUUUACCGUGCGCUUCCAAGUGCCACCUAUCAUGAGCCAAGUACUAUGAGAUUCUUCAACGUGGUGUACGCGAAGUUUCCCCUAUACCUACUUUUAUUUGGGAUUGGGCGCUUAGCUUUCAUUUCUUGGCUUUCACUUCUGAUAACAUCAAUAUCCUUGGAAGGAACAAACCGUAAAGAGGAAUCUGUGACGAUCUGUUUCGAAGCAUCGAACAAUUGUUGAACGCUGCGAGGCGUUCCUCCAGGUUAUUAUCUUGGCGAUUGAAUUCGGGCGCGGUUGAAUCGCGGAGCUUUAAGGAAUAUACAGAACGGAAUAUACAGACAAGGAAUAGGAAGCGUGAGUGUAAACGAAGAAAGACUGGUGAAGGUGAAGUGUGAAGGUCCGAGGGUAUAGAGCAACACGUGGAGUGUGAGCACGAUAGCACCGCGGGUCGUUCUCAAGGGGACGGACGCCAUGGCGGCUUCUUCGUCCUCGUCGACCGGCGGAGAGCAGCAAUACUCUCUUAGAUGGAACGACUUUCAAUCGAGCAUUCUCAGUUCCGUACGUCAGCUGAGAGAUGUGGAAGAUUUUGUCGACGUCACGCUCGCCUGCGACAGCUGCAGCUUCACCGCACACAAGAUCGUUCUUUCGGCCUGCAGUCCGUACUUCCGAAACUUGCUCAAGGCAAACCCAUGUCCUCACCCAAUUGUAAUCCUGAAGGAUGUGGCGUCGUCGGACAUGGAAUCCUUGCUACGUUUUAUGUAUCACGGGGAGGUGCACGUGGGUCAGGAGCAGCUACCUGCUUUCCUGAAGACGGCUCAAAUGCUUCAAGUCCGGGGUUUGGCGGACGUUAAUAGCGGCGCCACGAAAAUUCCACCGUCGUCGGCCGGCAACAACGGUAGCGCACCUGCAACCCCACGUAACUGGCAGGAUAACGGCAGAGGGGAUCUCAAUGAAAGUGAAUUGAGUCCACCAGAAAAACGAGCAAGAAGUUAUAGUCCGCCGAUAGGAAACCACGUCGAACCAAAAUUGGAUCUUCAGGAAUCCUUGUUAGGCCAGGCACUCGAAGGUGGUCCCACGAUACACACGACAUCCACAAACAACAUACAGGCGCAAUCAACUGGCGAAGAUUCGAAUUCUAUGUCAGAAAACGAGGAGGAUGUGUCGAAUCACGGCAGCAUUCUUAACGCAGUGAAGACCGAGCCAAGUGAUAUUUUAAAUGAUUCUAUAGAACAUCAUCGAAACAGCUUUCCUGCAGCGUUGUUAAGUCUUCAAGGCAUGAAUAUGCCAGGACCCUCCGGUAUGCAUCAAGUAGCCAAUCAGGAUCCGAAUUAUGUCGCUCGACGAAGUCUGGAUAUGAUUCGAGUUCGUGCUACGGAUCCUAGGCCUUGUCCGAAGUGCGGAAAGAUGUAUCGUUCAGCACAUACAUUACGUACUCAUUUGGAAGACAAACAUACAGUCUGUCCAGGAUAUCGCUGUGUUUUAUGCGGAACAGUGGCAAAGUCUCGGAAUUCUCUACAUUCACACAUGUCGAGACAACAUCGAGGCAUCAGUACGAAAGAUCUUCCAGUUAUGCCGAUGCCCAGUAAAUUCGAUCCAGAAUUGGCAUCCCGUUUAUUAGCUAAGGCUGGAGUCAAGGUGAGUCCGGCUGAACUUCGCGCACGAGCUAGCCCAACAGCAUCUCGAAGAAGCGACAUGAGGUUGGAGCCGCCUCGUGUAGGUGCAUCCGAAGUUGACAGCUGCGGUGGUGAUGAUCCCGAAGACCUUAGUCUUAGGUAUAGUUCGCCACUUUCGAACACCGUCAUUACUAAGGUAAGCGGCAACAGCAACAGUAGCAGCAAUAGCAAGAAUUCGACAACGAUCAUCCCCAAAUCCUUGGAUGUCAUGCAUGGUAAUGGUGAUCUCAACAUGGCACCACUACCACAUGGCAGUCAUCAUUCAGGCCAUAAUGCCACCAGUGCGAUUGCUGGCUCGGCGAUUUUGGACACCUAUUUGCAGUUCAUUGCAGAGAACUCUGGCCUAUCGGCGAUGGGACUUGGUCCUGAGCAUGCGGCCGCCGUGCAUGCACAUGCCGCUAAGAUGCGCAUGAAUUUGGAAAAGCACGGCAGUCGCAACUUGGAAGAUUAUCCUAUCAUCGGCAGAGACGAGGGUCGAGGCUCCGGAGUCGUUCAUGAGGACAGACAGGAGUUUGACAGACACAGCGGACUUGUCGAUGAAGCAGAAUCGUCAGGUGCGGAUGACGACGAAUUUAGCGAGAAUGAGGAACCAGAAGUGAUAAAGGAAUAAUUCCUUCCUUUUAGAAUAGCUAAUGAUUUUAAAGAGCAUCUUCGAAUUACUGACGAGUUUCUCGAGAUGAUCUGCAGAUGAUCGCGGCAUAAACUGACGCUCGCGACAAUUCUUGUUUGAAUGAAGCAAGGGAAAUAAUAUAUGUGCUAAAUCGUCCAUCCGAAGAAUCGACCAAUGAUUCUUGUUAUUGCCUGCUCUAUUACUGCGUGAAAUAACUUGUGAAGUUUAUUGGAUGCCAGAUAUGUUUGAAAAGUUAAAAAGUCUCCAAAGCAUUUUGACACAAACAUAGAGAUGGUGCGUGAACAAACUUGCUUGUUGGACUAGAGUCACUUAAUUGCCAUUACAGCAAAUAAGCAUAUGUAUAUAUGCAAAACUAUGCAUAUGCAACACGCACAUACACGUACAUGCAUACACACACACAUACACACAUAUAUAUACAUGUAUACAGCGCGCGUGCGCGAUGGAGCAUCCACAUAUACGCCACAAAUAUUCCAUCCAUCUACCUCAGUGCACAUAAUAGAUGAUAGAACAGACUAACGAAUCUCAGUAAAUGAAGAGAAGAUGAAGUACGCCGUUGGAUAGCAGAACAACAAUGAUCGCAAGAUUCGCGAAGGACCGUAAUAAAAACAAUCUUUUGAAAAGGAUCUAUUUGAUGGG